rnacentral:rRNA from 1 species
GGCAACCCCUGAUCCCAGGCCAUGCCGGCGUGUGUGAAGAAGGCCUUUUUGGUUGUAAAGCACUUUAAGCGAGGAGGAGGCUUUUUUUAGUUAAUACCUAGGAUGAGUGGACGUUACUCGCAGAAUAAGCACCGGCUAACUCUGUGCCAGCAGCCGCGGUAAUACAGAGGGUGCGAGCGUUAAUCGGAUUUACUGGGCGUAAAGCGUACGUAGGCGGCUUUUUAAGUCGGAUGUGAAAUCCCUGAGCUUAACUUAGGAAUUGCAUUCGAUACUGGGAAGCUAGAGUAUGGGAGAGGAUGGUAGAAUUCCAGGUGUAGCGGUGAAAUGCGUAGAGAUCUGGAGGAAUACCGAUGGCGAAGGCAGCCAUCUGGCCUAAUACUGACGCUGAGGUACGAAAGCAUGGGGAGCAAACAGGAUUAGAUACCCUGGUAGUCCAUGCCGUAAACGAUGUCUACUAGCCGUUGGGGCCUUUGAGGCUUUAGUGGCGCAGCUAACGCGAUAAGUAGACCGCCUGGGGAGUACGGUCGCAAGACUAAAACUCAAAUGAAUUGACGGGGGCCCGCACAAGCGGUGGAGCAUGUGGUUUAAUUCGAUGCAACGCGAAGAACCUUACCUGGUCUUGACAUAGUAAGAACUUUCCAGAGAUGGAUUGGUGCCUUCGGGAACUUACAUACAGGUGCUGCAUGGCUGUCGUCAGCUCGUGUCGUGAGAUGUUGGGUUAAGUCCCGCAACGAGCGCAACCCUUUUCCUUAUUUGCCAGCGGGUUAAGCCGGGAACUUUAAGGAUACUGCCAGUGACAAACUGGAGGAAGGCGGGGACGACGUCAAGUCAUCAUGGCCCUUACGACCAGGGCUACACACGUGCUACAAUGGUCGGUACAAAGGGUUGCUACUGCGCGAGCAGAUGCUAAUCUCAAAAAGCCGAUCGUAGUCCGGAUCGCAGUCUGCAACUCGACUGCGUGAAGUCGGAAUCGCUAGUAAUCGCGGAUCAGAAUGCCGCGGUGAAUACGUUCCCGGGCCUUGUACACACCGCCCGUCACACCAUGGGAGUUUGUGCACCAGAAGUAGGUAGCCUAACCUAAGGAGGGCG